rnacentral:rRNA from 1 species
UGCCAGCCUCCGCUGUACUCCUGAUUGUCCAAUCGUUAUCCGGAUUUAUUGGGUUUAAAGGGUGCGUAGGCGGAUCUUUAAGUCAGUGGUGAAAGCCUGCAGCUUAACUGUAGAACUGCCAUUGAUACUGGAGAUCUUGAGUAUACUAGAGGUAGGCGGAAUUUAUGGUGUAGCGGUGAAAUGCAUAGAUACCAUAAAGAACACCGAUAGCGUAGGCAGCUUACUGGAGUAUAACUGACGCUGAUGCACGAAAGCAUGGGUAGCGAACAGGAUUAGAUA